GAUGAACGCUGGCGGCGUGCCUAAUACAUGCAAGUCGAGCGAACAGACGAGGAGCUUGCUCCUCUGACGUUAGCGGCGGACGGGUGAGUAACACGUGGAUAACCUACCUAUAAGACUGGGAUAACUUCGGGAAACCGGAGCUAAUACCGGAUAACAUGUUGAACCGCAUGGUUCAACAGUGAAAGACGGUUUUGCUGUCACUUAUAGAUGGAUCCGCGCCGCAUUAGCUAGUUGGUAAGGUAACGGCUUACCAAGGCAACGAUGCGUAGCCGACCUGAGAGGGUGAUCGGCCACACUGGAACUGAGACACGGUCCAGACUCCUACGGGAGGCAGCAGUAGGGAAUCUUCCGCAAUAGGCGAAAGCCUGACGGAGCAACGCCGCGUGAGUGAAGAAGGUCUUCGGAUCGUAAAACUCUGUUAUUAGGGAAGAACAAAUGUGUAAGUAACUAUGCACGUCUUGACGGUACCUAAUCAGAAAGCCACGGCUAACUACGUG
rnacentral:rRNA from 1 species